rnacentral:lncRNA from 1 species
GAAAACUCUUAUUUUUUAUUUUUUUAAUUCUCUUUCAGGCAUUUAUUCAAAUGGUUUCUACGCAUCUAUAAACUGGACAGUAAGUAUAAGUACAGGUUCUACAAUAAAGAUCAUAUGUAAAAUACAAAACUAACUUGUAAAACAUCAAGAAUAAUGAAGAAAACAAAAGAUCAGAAUGAAAAACUAACCUCCAGCCACCGGAUUUUCAUCCGGGUUCGUCUUUUUCUUUCCUCUCAUUAAUAGAGCUAGGGUUUUUCUUAUGAAUAUAGAGAAGGAGUGUCCAAUAUAGAGAAGGAGAGGACACUGGUCAUGGCGCGAUGGUUAGUAAAUCGAGAGAUCAAAGAGAUAUAUGAUUUGUUAUUUAUCCUUGUUAACAAAAACAUUCGCAUAGAUUUUUAUUCGGUAAGAAAGAAAAAAAAAAAAAAAUCUUAGAUUUGUCACUUGCCUUCUUUAAUGAAGGGACACGACAGCUUGGAAUUGAUUUCAGAAAUGAAUGGAUGUGAAGGAUCUAAGUCGAUAUAGUUGCUAUUAAAAGGAUUCGUUGGAAUUGAAGAGGCGGAAACGGUGAGAAGGAAUAUAGGGUUCAACAUAUCCUCGACGGUGCUUCUAGUUCUUGAAAUAUUUUAGUGUAUACCUUCAAAAGAUCAUUCAAAUCAGAAAAACUUCACAAGAUCAUUAAAAUCAGAAAAACUUCACCUAUAAUUGAAACUUGAAAUUUAGGUGAAACGUUGUGUGUAAGAUUUGUAUCACAUACAUUGUCCCAAACUCAAAUCGAGCAAAAGAAACUCUAGCAUAAAAAAAAAUCGUUGCUUACAUUCGCCCUGAUUUUUUAGAGAGAACACGAACAAGG